GACGAACGCUGGCGGCGUGCUUAACACAUGCAAGUCGAACGGAAAGGCCCUGCUUUUGUGGGGUGCUCGAGUGGCGAACGGGUGAGUAACACGUGAGUAACCUGCCCUUGACUUUGGGAUAACUUCAGGAAACUGGGGCUAAUACCGGAUAGGAGCUCCUGCUGCAUGGUGGGGGUUGGAAAGUUUCGGCGGUUGGGGAUGGACUCGCGGCUUAUCAGCUUGUUGGUGGGGUAGUGGCUUACCAAGGCUUUGACGGGUAGCCGGCCUGAGAGGGUGACCGGCCACAUUGGGACUGAGAUACGGCCCAGACUCCUACGGGAGGCAGCAGUGGGGAAUAUUGCACAAUGGGCGGAAGCAUGAUGCAGCAACGCCGCGUGCGGGAUGACGGCCUUCGGGUUGGAAACCGCUUUCGCCUGUGACGAAGCGUGAGUGACGGUAAUGGGUAAAGAAGCACCGGCUAACUACGU
rnacentral:rRNA from 1 species